GACGUAGGAUGCAAGCGUUGUCCGGAUUUAUUGGGCGUAAAGAGUUCGUAGGUGGUUUGUUAAGUCUGGUGUUAAAGAUCGGGGCUCAACCUCGGGAGUGCAUUGGAUACUGGCAGACUUGAGUGUGGUAGAGGCGAGUGGAAUUCCCAGUGUAGCGGUGAAAUGCGUAGAUAUUGGGAAGAACACCGGUGGCGCAAGCGACUCGCUGGGCCAUUACUGACACUGAGGAACGAAAGCUAGGGGAGCGAAUGGG
rnacentral:rRNA from 1 species